UACGGAGGGUGCAAACGUUGCUCGGAAUCAUUGGGCGUAAAGCGCACGUAGGCGGCUCGUUAAGUCGGGUGUGAAAGCCCUGGGCUCAACCGUGGAAGUGCAUCCGAAACUGCAUGGCUCGAGUCUCGGAGAGGAAGGUGGAAUGCUUGGUGUAGAGGUGAAAUUCGUAGAUAUCAAGCGGAACACCGGUGGCGAAGGCGGCCUUCUGGACAGUGACUGACGCUGAGACGCGAAAGCGUGGGGAGCAAACAGG
rnacentral:rRNA from 1 species